GCUUAGUUGGACAGCUCAGUUGGUUAAAGCAUGGUGCUGAUAAUUCCAGUGUUGUGGGUUUGAGCCCCGUAUGGGACA